rnacentral:rRNA from 1 species
UACGUAGGGACCAAGCGUUGUUCGGAUUUACUGGGCGUAAAGGGUUCGUAGGCGGUGUGGCAAGUCGGGAGUGAAAUUUCUGGGCUUAACUCAGAACCUGCUUCCGAAACUGCUGUGCUAGAGUGCGGGAGAGGCGCGUGGAAUUGCAGGUGUAGCGGUGAAAUGCGUAGAUAUCUGCAGGAACACCCGUGGCGAAAGCGGCGCGCUGGACCG